ensembl:lncRNA
GCCAGCAAGCGGGAGGCUGCAGCGGGGGGCAGGGAGGCAGGCGAUGGGCGGGCGGCGUUAUUUAUAGGCACCCAGGGCUGGGGCUGCAUUAUGCGAGCUGCCUUUGUCCUGCCCGCCCGGCCAGGCCCCCCCGCUCUGGCCGGGCUGGAACGACGCCAGCUCCGCCGCCCGCAGUGCUGCCUCCCGCUGCUGCAGGGCGCUCCCCGGCGCGGCCAUCUUGUGCGCGGCAGCCGCGGGGAGAAAAAGCCGCCAAGCGCCCCGCUCCCUCCCCGGCUUCGCCUUCCACAACCCCUCACAAAGCGUGAUCGGGACGCGAAGCGCCGCCAGGCAGUGGGGGAGAGCCCGCCUCGCCGCCGCCCCAGCUCUGAGGAGAACGCGGCGCCGAAGGAGAAGCCAUGAUGGCGGCUACCCUCACACAACAUGGAGCGCGACCGGGAGCGCCCUGCCUGCCACCAGCCACCCCUCCCGGCGCCCGGGACACGGUGCUUCCGCAGGCUUUCACAUAAUAAAACCACCAGACUUCGGCGGGGAGGCCAUUUCAUGGGCUGGGUGGCUGCACUAAAGCACAACUGCUGUGAAUAUCAACUGCGUCACGGCUCCUCCAGCUGUAAAACUCAGGCUGCAAAGGGUCCCUCACUUGGAAAGAAACUCCCUCAUUUUGGAUUUACUUCCAGACCUCCUUUUCCCCCCCUCUCUCCAAGUCACUGCCUCUCGGUAUGAAGGAUUUUACAGUGCUUUUUAGUGAGACAUCCGCCAUUAAGACUCACCGUCUUGAAAAACACCNNNNNNNNNNNNNNNNNNNNNNNNNNNNNNNNNNNNNNNNNNNNNNNNNNNNNNNNNNNNNNNNNNNNNNNNNNNNNNNNNNNNNNNNNNNNNNNNNNNNNNNNNNNNNNNNNNNNNAAAAAAAAAAAAAAAAAAAGACACCAGGGCUGCGGACGACCAAGCGCUUUAUGCAGAAAAGAGAAAUCCCUCCCUGAAAAUAGACGUUUUCAGAGACGCUGUUAGAUGUAUCUGAGGAGAAGGAGAUCGCCACCGCUCACACAGACGACAUUAGGAUCUUUCUACCCAGGACAAUAACGUUAGCCGCACAGGCCUGGUCUAUAUGUUUCUCUGCAAGGGCAAAAGGGGUUUACUUACCCGCGCACCAUAGUUGAAUGCAGCUCUGAAGGUGAAGUUGUUACGCUUUUUAAAAAUAACGGCUAUAAACAUAUACGAUCUGUAUCACCACUUCGCUCGUAAGUUUGCAAGUCAAAGCAGAUCUUGUUAAGAUAGUUUACGGAUCUUUGUAUGACAGUGGUCUAGCAUCAAAAAAAAAACAACCACCCAAAAAAAAGCUAUAGAAAAAGUUGUCUAGCUAUGUUAACUGACUGUACGCAGCGAGGACUCCUACUCGAGGCUUAAAUCUACCUUCCUGUGGCAGAUUUACCCUGUACAUAAAAAGGACGUUCAGUGUUUUUCCACAGAGCACGCAGACACUAAAAAUAUUCUCCUAUAUAGUUUUAGGCUGCACAUGUUAGUGUGAAAACACCUGGUUAACAUUUAAUGGUUGUAAACAACUUUCAAGCAUCUCUUAUCUAGGUAUUUUGCUUUAUAAGUAAAAUACUGGAAAAAGCAUAAAUUGGUUUAGGUAAACAGACAAAAACAUAAGACAUGCAAAUGAAGGCUUAGCAAUAAGGACCACUUCAGUAACAUUAACAUGAAAACUACACUUAGCAAGGACAGAAUGGAUUGGGUACUUACAACGUAAGAGGAAAGGAAAAAAAAAAAAGCUUAUCAAAUUGCCUUUUUGACAGAUUCACUAUUCCUAUGGUUAUUAUUUAAAACGUUACCUUGUAAGCACCAAAGGAGUUAAUAAAAAUGGCCAGGAAUCAAGUGUUUAAUACAGGAAAUACUCUCUAAAAUUUAUUGUUCGGUCAUCAGAGAGCUGUACAAAGCUUAAAAACCCACAAAAUAACGAAAAAAAAUUGAAAAAUAAUGUAUUACUUUUUUUUGGCAUUCGAAAUUGUUAACUGCUGACAUAGGGUGUGCCAUGACCUAGUUACACGAGACAAAGAUGGAUCCCGAAUCAUAAGGGAAAAAAAUCCGCAUUUUUUUUUUUUUAGUUUUUUUUUUGGGGGGGUCAAAUCUUCCUUCUUCAUUGAGUCCUCUAAGCAUGGUGCCAGACUAACACCACCCCGAGCGCUCCCCGCAAGUGGACGGUGUGGAUUCACAUGGCGGAUCCCCCUUUUGGAACAAAGGAAAAGCCCAGUUGGCCAUUUCGCUCCAUUGCAGAAAAAUGGCUGCCUGAUCUGUUGGCCUCUCCUUAGCUGUCUGCUGAAGGAUGUUUUUACACCGCCGUCUAAUAACUCAAGCCCCAUGGAAGCUGCUCGCCCAUUGGCUGCGGCCGCCCCGCUGCCUUUAACCAGCCAAUUACCCGACCGCGGCCGAGCUGCCGCGGACCGAGUGCAGCCGCGCCAUGCGCCCGCCGCGCUCCGCCCGGCUCCGCGCCCCGGCGAGCGGCGGGGGGACCGCGCCGCCCGGCCUUUAAUACCUAAAACAAAAUGGAAGCUCCCCGCUGAUUGGCUGCCGCCGGACCCGGACCUUUAAUAAGCAAAACUGCUUCCCCCCCCCGGCUGCGUGUCGCCGAACGGCAGCACCACCAANNNNNNNNNNNNNNNNNNNNNNNNNNNNNNNNNNNNNNAAAAAAAAAACCCAAACCAAAAAAACCCCAACAACCAACUUGUCCCACCUAUAGGUCCAUCUUGUUUAGAAACAGUUUGCGCUAAGGUAAAUGCAGCGGGCAGAUUCCACUCGCCCCCCCGCAUGCCGUUAACCCCGGGGCGGGGAGGAAAAAAAAAUAAACCCACCCCGGCGGCGGCCCAUGCGGCGGCGCGCGGCGGCGGGGCGGCGGCGGCGGGCGGCCGCGGGCCGGGGGCUGCGCCGCGCGGCCGCCGUGAAUGUGCAGGCGGCGGAGGGCGGUUAGGCGUUCGCGGCGCUCGCAGCGGUGUAUUGUGGGAGGCCGCCGCCGCCAGCAGCGAGCACACACAAUAUGUGGUGGCUCGCAAAAACGGGAGGCAGGAGCCUGGCGGCCAGCCCGCGCCGGUAACCGGCCCCAUGUGAGACGGGAGCUCGCCUUUCGCCGCCCGGAG